UACGUAGGGUGCAAGCGUUAAUCGGAAUUACUGGGCGUAAAGCGUGCGCAGGCGGUUGUGCAAGACAGAUGUGAAAUCCCCGGGCUCAACCUGGGAAUUGCAUUUGUGACUGCACGGCUAGAGUGUGUCAGAGGGGGGUAGAAUUCCACGUGUAGCAGUGAAAUGCGUAGAGAUGUGGAGGAAUACCGAUGACGAAGGCAGCCCCCCUGGGAUAACACUGACGCUCAUGCACGAAAGCGUGGGGAGCAAACAGG
rnacentral:rRNA from 1 species